CCUACGGGGUGCAGCAGUGAGGAAUAUUGGUCAAUGGUCGGGAGACUGAACCAGCCAAGCCGCGUGAGGGAGGAAGGUACAGAGUAUCGUAAACCUCUUUUGUCAGGGAACAAAGACUGGGACGCGUCCCCGGAUGAGUGUACCUGAAGAAAAAGCAUCGGCUAACUCCGUGCCAGCAGCCGCGGUAAUACGGAGGAUGCGAGCGUUAUCCGGAUUUAUUGGGUUUAAAGGGUGCGCAGGCGGUCUGUUUAGGCAGAGGUCAAAGGCCGGGGGCUAAACCCGGCCCCGCCGUUGAAACUGGCAGUAUCGAGUUGGAGAGAAGUAUGCGGAAUGCGCGGUGUAGCGGUGAAAUGCAUAGAUAUCGCGCAGAACUCCGAUUGCGAAGGCAGCAUGCCGGCUCCACACUGACGCUGAGGCACGAAAGCGUGGGUAUCGAACAGGAUUAGAUACCCCAGUAGUC
rnacentral:rRNA from 1 species